CAGGGCGAAUGUCUUGUAAUUGGAAUGAUGGUGACCCAAACCCUCACCAGAGUAGCAAUUGGAGGGCAAGUCUGGUGCCAGCAGCCGCGGUAAUUCCAGCUCCAAUAGCGUAUAUUAAACUUGUUGCAGUUAAAAAGCUCGUAGUUGUAUUUUUGCGUUAGCGGUUUGACCAUUUGGUUGGUUAUUUCGUUUUCGCUUUUGGGAAUUUCCCUUUUUACUUUGAGAAAAUUAGAGUGUUUCAAGCAGACUUUUGUCUUGAAUACUUCAGCAUGGAAUAAUAGAGUAGGACUUUGGUUCUAUUUUGUUGGUUAUUGAACCUUAGUAAUGGUUAAUAGGAACGGUUGGGGGCAUUCGUAUUUAACUGUCAGAGGUGAAAUUC
rnacentral:rRNA from 1 species